GUUUGAGAUAAAGAAGAACGAUAAUCUACCCAGAAUUUUUCAUCAAUUAUAGCUUCCCGGGCCACAAAUUUCCCAAAUUUGAACCUGUCCUCGUACACACAAUCCUUGUCAGGCGUUUGAAUACAAAUCAAGUGCUCUUCUUUUUUCCUUGUUUGAGAAGACCUAGAAUCCAUGGCUCCGUAGAUCCAAAAAUAAAAAACAAAACGAAAAGGAAAAUUAAACUUACAUGAAUCCAAAGCUUUCCAAAAUUGUAUAAAGAAAUAAACAAGGAAAGAGUUAAAGAUUUACAUUGUCAAAGAAGAGGCGAUUCUGUGAAAUGUUGAGUGAUUUCUGAAUCCAUCAUUUGAUAAGGUAGAGAAGUCAGUUUAAAUGCUUUAUCGCAG
rnacentral:lncRNA from 1 species